UACCCUUGACAUGUCUAGAAUCCUGAAGAGAUUUAGGAGUGCUCGAAAGAGAACUAGAACACAGGUGCUGCAUGGCCGUCGUCAGCUCGUGUCGUGAGAUGUUGGGUUAAGUCCCGCAACGAGCGCAACCCUUAUCAUUAGUUGCUACGCAAGGGCACUCUAAUGAGACUGCCGGUGACAAACCGGAGGAAGGUGGGGAUGACGUAGACCUUGGACC
rnacentral:misc_RNA from 1 species